GAAAUGCGAUAAGUAGUGUGAAUUGCAGAAUUCAGUGAAUCAUCGAAUCUUUGAACGCACAUUUCGCCCCUUGGUAUUCCAUGGGGCAUGCCUGUUCGAGCGUCAUUUGUACCCUCAAGCUUUGCUAGGUGUUGGGCGUCUUGUCCUCUUCUGGAGGACUCGCCUCAAGACAAUUGGCAGCCGGCAUAUUGGGAUCCGAGCACAGCACAAGUCGCACUUUGUUACAUGAAUGUUGGCAUCCAUCAAGACCAUGUUUUCACUCUUGACCUCGGAUAAGGUAGGGAUACCCGCUGAACUUAA
rnacentral:misc_RNA from 1 species